UACGAGGGGGGCGAGCGUUGUUCGGAAUUAUUGGGCGUAAAGGGUGCGUAGGCGGUUCCGCAAGUCCUGUGUGAAAUCUUCGGGCUCAACUCGAAGUCUGCACGGGAAACUGCGGGGCUUGAGUGUGGGAGAGGUGAGUGGAAUUCCCGGUGUAGCGGUGAAAUGCGUAGAUAUUGGGAAGAACACCAGUGGCGAAGGCGGCUCACUGGCCCGAUACUGACGCUGAGGCACGAAAGCGUGGGGAGCAAACAGG
rnacentral:rRNA from 1 species